rnacentral:rRNA from 1 species
AGGGUUCGAUUCCGGAGAGGGAGCCUGAGAAACGGCUACCACAUCUACGGAAGGCAGCAGGCGCGAAAAUUGCCCAAUCCUGAUUCAGGGAGGCAGUGACAAGAAAUAACAACUCUCGACUUUGUUGAGAAGUGUAAUGAGGAUAAUUUACAAACCUUACCGAAAGCAAUUGGAGGGCAAGUCUGGUGCCAGCAGCAGUCUGGUGCCAGCAGC